rnacentral:lncRNA from 1 species
CGCCUCCAGUUCCAGCCCUCCACGCGACCACGCCUUAGGCCUUGUUUAGUUCACCCUGAAAACCAAAAAGUUUUCAAGAUUCUCCGUCACAUCGAAUCUUGUGGCACAUGCAUGAAACAUUAAAUAUAAACAAAAAUAAAAACUAAUUACACAGUUUAGCUGGAAAUCACGAGACGAAUCUUUUGAUCAUAAUUAGUUCAUAAUUAGAUAAUAUUUGUCACAAACAAACGAAAAUGCUACAGUACCGAAAAGUUUUCACUUUUCGAAACUAAACAAGGCCUUAGUCGCCGAAGGCCUCGCGGAGAGAACGUGAACCCAUCGGCCCAUGCCAUGCAUAUCACGGGCAAAUGGGCCCUUCGUCCUCCUUUAUAAUGGAGCUUGGGACACCCACCGGCCGCCGCCAUCACGUGGUGUGCGGGAGCCCGGCAGCCGAUACACCAUUCGGUUCGAAAAAAGAAGAAAAAAAUUUGGCAUAUCACGUGGUAUAGCA